rnacentral:rRNA from 1 species
CAGUCGCCGCGGUAAUACGAAGGGGGCUAGCGUUGUUCGGAUUUACUGGGCGUAAAGGGCGCGUAGGCGGGCGAAUAAGUCAGGGGUGAAAUCCCAAGGCUCAACCUUGGAACUGCCUUUGAUACUGUUUGUCUUGAGUUCGAGAGAGGUAAGUGGAACUGCGAGUGUAGAGGUGAAAUUCGUAGAUAUUCGCAAGAACACCAGUGGCGAAGGCGGCUUACUGGCUCGAAACUGACGCUGAGGCGCGAAAGCGUGGGGAGCAAACAGGAUUAGAUACCCCUGUAGUCCCUGUCUCUUAUAU